GACGUUGAUAUACGACGUUAUAAACACAAUCAAGUUUGGUGUUUAUAACGUCGAUAUUCGACGUCAUAAACACCAUCAAGUUUGGUGUUUAUGACGUCGAUAGUCGACGUCAUAAACACCAUCAAAUUUGGUGUUUAUGACGUCGAUAUACGACGUCAUAAACACCAUCAAGUUUGGUGUUCAUGACGUUGAUAUACGACGUUAUAAACACAAUCAAGUUUGGUGUUUAUAACGUCGAUAUUCGACGUC
rnacentral:miRNA from 1 species